rnacentral:rRNA from 1 species
CGCCCCCANAAUUCYURNCGGGANGGCAGYCUGUGGGGBUAUNCUUGCACUAUGGGGCGCHAGCMUURAUGCAUUGAYCGCCGCCUGHGGGGAUUAUCGGCCUUCGGGGUUGUNWANCCUCUUUCRGUAGGGAAUGAAGCGAWAGUGACGGUACCUUGCAGAAGAAGCGCCGGCUAACUACGUGCCAUCAGCCGCGGUMAUAUCGUAGGGCGCAAGCGUUAUCCGGRAAUUAUUGGGCGUAAAGAGCUCGUUAGGCGGUUUGUCGCGUCUGCUGUGAAAGACCGGGGCUCAACUCCGGUUCUGCAGUGGGUACGGGCAGACUAGAGUGCAGUAGGGGAGACUGGAAUUCCUGGUGUAGCGGUGAAAUGCGCAGAUAUCAGGAGGAACACCGAUGGCGAAGGCAGGUCUCUGGGCUGUAACUGACGCUGAGGAGCGAAAGCAUGGGGAGCGAACAGGAUUAGAUACCCUGGUAGUCCAUGCCGUAAACGUUGGGCACUAGGUGUGGGGGACAUUCCACGUUUUCCGCGCCGUAGCUAACGCAUUAAGUGCCCCGCCUGGGGAGUACGGCCGUCAAGGCUAAAACUCAAAGGAAUUGAUCGGGGGCCCGCAUCAYAGCGGCGGAGCAUGCAGGAUUAAUUCUGAUGCUAWCKKCGAAGWACCCUUAUCGCMAGGCUUGACAUGAACCGGAAAGACCUGGAAACAGGUGCCCCGCUUGCGGUCGGUUUACAGGUGGUGCAUGGUUGUCGUCAGCUCGUGUCGUGAGAUGUUGGGUUAAGUCCCGCAACGAGCGCAACCCUCGUUCUAUGUUGCCAGCGCGUUAUGGCGGGGACUCAUAGGAGACUGCCGG